CGCAGGGUGGAGCAAUUGGAAGCUUAGCAGACCCAUUAUCUGAAGGUUACAGGUUCAAAUCCUGUCCCUGCUA
rnacentral:tRNA from 1 species